CUCAGGACGAACGCUGGCGGCAGGCCUAACACAUGCAAGUCGAGCGAGCUUGCCUAUAGAAAUUCUUCGGAAUGGACAUAGAUACAAGCUAGCGGCGGACGGGUGAGUAAUGCCUGGGAAACUGCCCUUAAGUCUGGGAUACCAUUUGGAAACAGAUGCUAAUACCGGAUAAAAGCUACUUUCGCAUGAAAGAAGUUUAAAAGGCGGCGUAAGCUGUCGCUAAAGGAUGGACCUGCGAUGCAUUAGCUAGUUGGUAAGGUAACGGCUUACCAAGGCGAUGAUGCAUAGCCGAGUUGAGAGACUGAUCGGCCACAUUGGGCCUGA
rnacentral:rRNA from 1 species